AUGAUGGAGCCAAACUUGGAAGAUUCUGAUAUCGAGCCUGCUCCCAAGCUCAUCGAGGUGUUUCUACAGAACUGCAAAGGUCAUGUAGAUCAAUGGGUUGAGCCUUACCUCUGGCUUACAAUUGAUCGGUUGCGCCGCUCAAAACCAUAUUUGAAAUGUCUCCUUGUACAAGUGAUUGCUAAUGCGUUCUACUAUAACCCUUCGUUGACACUCGCGACUUUACAUAAACUUGGAGUUGCAACAGAAAUUUUUAACCUUUGGUUUGGUAUGUUACAACAAGUAAAAAAUAAUGGCAUGCGAGCCAAUUUUAGGAGAGAACAUGAUAAGAAGAUUUGUUGCCUGGGGCUGACUUCACUUAUUGGCCUUCCAGCAGAUCAUAUUCCAGUAGAAGCUCUAGAUGGCAUUUUCAAAGCAACACUUGAUCUCCUUGCUGCCUACAAAGAUCAAAUUGCAGAACCGAAGAAGCAAAAUGAGGACGAUGUUGAUGAUAUGGAUGGCUUUGACGCUGAUGAAGAUGAUGAAGAAGUUGAAUCAGACAAGGAGAUGGGUCUUGACGAUGAAGACGGCGAUGAACUAAACAAUCUUCAUCUUCAGAGACUAGCUGCAGAGGCUAGAGGCUUCCAGCCAGCUGAUGAAGAUGAUGAUUCAGAUGAUGAUUUCAGUGACGAUGAGGAGCUGCAAUCACCGAUUGAUGAGGUGGAUCCGUUCGUUUUAUUUGUUGAAAGUGUCAAAGGUUUGCAAGCAUCUGAUCUGGCCAGGUUCCAGAACCUCGUGCAAACUCUUGAUUUCCGAUAUCAGGCGCUUGCUAAUGGCAUAGGUCAAUAUGCUGAAGAAAGAAGAGUUGAGAUCGAAAGAGAAAAUUGGAGAAGGCAAAUACACAGUGAUGAUUCAUGA
rnacentral:rRNA from 1 species